GAAAUAGAUUUAGGAGUGGGACUGGGGAUUCUAAUUUAUUGAUUUUGAACAUUUCCAAUAAACAUGUGUGUUUGAACAAACUGUGUAUGGUCAAUUCUGCUAGAGUCCAAGUUUCUAUCAAAGAUUUGGAAGAUGGGUAACUACACUUGGGGAGACUGUCAAGGAUGUCAGAGAGUUCAGAUAGUGCAACAUUGACAUUACCACUUGGAGGACGGUACAUUACAC